UUUUUGGUGAAUCAGAGAUAACAGUUUCCAUCUUUUUCAAGGAUGUGUUUGGAGGCAGAACUGGUAAAUGUUUUAUACCUAAUUGCAAAGCUGGUAUAAAUAUUUCAGGACACAAUUGAGUUUUUCUCAUUAAAACUGGUUCUCCUGUCUCCGUAUGCAGAAGUUUCUAGCUGUGGGGAGAAAGUACUAUUUUAAAAUAAUUGCAAAGAUUCUAAUUCCAUGGUAACCAUGACAAAUAGACCUCUGUUAUAAUAGGUUUUGAUGGGCUUAUUUUUAGUUAGAACAAAGACAAUUUUGGUUAUUAAAAAAUACCCUAACCUAACUUGAUCUCUGUUUUUUAACUUGCUCCUACUUAAAGGCUAUGGUGGGCCAGACAAAUCAGAAAUGAUUAGUUUUUCAAGCCAAUAGCAUUAUCUGUGAAUCACUUGUCUCAGGCAGAUUUGAAGGUAUUUGUUGUAGGGUUGCUAGAAAUCCUAAAUCUUUUUUUCUCAUAUUUCCGCAUUUAGGAAAAUCAGUGCAAAAGCAAACGACGUUCUUUGGUACUCUCCAUAGAGUUACAUUUGAACGUGCACUAAUGGAGAGGAGAAAUUUUCAUUUUCCCUUUGGUCACUUUUCAUGUCUUACCCAUAGAUGGCAGCAAGUGAUCACUCUGCUAACCCACCUGGCCCAGCCAGUCCGGGUCAGCCUGUGUUGUAAAACCAAGGUAAAAGGGAGGAAAGUGGAAGACAGCCUACCAUAUCCUUGGAGGAUGCUUCGUUUAGUUGUCUGAGAUAUGGCUCUUCUCUUCAGAGCUGGAGAACUUUGCUCUCUUUAGAUUCUUCUUCUGAGGCUUGAAAGAACCCUAGCAACAUUGAAGGAGCAGUCAAGGCCGGGCAGGGAGGGCAAGUGGCCUGGGGCUUCCUGGAUCGCUCAGUGUCUUCUGUGGUCUCAUUCAACUCAACUCAUUCAACUCAAGUGUUGUAAAAUGGAAGUUCUUCUGGAAAUUCAGUCUUGUCCCUUUGGUCUCUAUAGGUCUGCAGUCUCUGUCUCUCUCUUAUUUCCCAACCUCCCAGCAAAUUGUAUUUUGGGGUGCCCUCCCCCGCUGCAUCCUGAUGUAUACCAGCAACCCCAUGAGGCUGGAGAGUCAACGUGCAGUUUUCCUUGAUUGGUAUAACAUUAAGAACAUGGCCAGUACCCUCAUCUUGCAAGGGCCAAGUUGUAUGAAGAGGAUCUUUUCAAACUCUCAUGGGAACCUAGGAUCUAUAUCUGCUCUCAAGGUAUCUCUGGUGGUAUAAGGUCUCCUGAGGCAUCGACACAAGAUAAGCUGAGUGUGGAGAAGGUCUGAUGCCAGAGACUUCUGAAAAGACAUGUGAGCCUCUACUUCAGGACUCAAGAAAAGGAAGCAACAUCUUUACACCAUCUCCAUGAAUACAGAAUUUUUGAACAAAGCUGGGAGUUCACUUAUUUCAAACAAAAUUUAUUUAAACCAGAUCAAAAAGGACAGCAAAAGUUUACUUUAAUGUGAUUUGAUCAAUAUCAAAUUAUACUUUUGGCAGAGAUAUUAUGUUGGAUCUCUCCAUAGGGAGCUCUUGGCAAAGAACUGUGAUGUAUUCGUGUCUCUAAUUUUGUUUACCUGCCAUUUUC
ensembl:lncRNA